rnacentral:lncRNA from 1 species
UAGUUUGCAAAAGCAAAUCUACCUUACUAUAGGGCUAUGAAACUCCGUAAACAAUGAAAGUAAAAGUAUCAGUUUAAAGCAAGCAACUAGAGAGAAUAUUGCAUAAACCUGUCCCUCCAUGUCCGCCACUCACCACUCCAUUUAUUGAUCACCAACAUGUUCACAAUAGAGCCCACUUCUCACUCUUAAAGCUCUCUCUCCUCCGUCCCCCUCUCUUCUCCGUUUAUAUCUCUCUCCACCUUCCCUCUACUGCAGACUCUCUCUCUUGACCCAAAAUGCAAGAAGACAAAAUAAAGAUGCGGACAAAUCUGAAGAUCCAAGAGGGAUCCUGAGGGAGAGCGACGAUAUAGAAAAUCAGGGAGAGUUUCUGGAAAUGAAGAUAAACUUCCAUAAAUAGAGUCCAAAUCGAGAAAGAAGAUGAAGGGGAGCCGCUUCGAUUCAGAUAAAUCUAGAAAACAGCCCCAUCAGCGGGAUCAAAACCAAGAAGAGGGCUUGGCUCGGUAGUCGGCAUUUUGGAAAAGUAUUGAAAAUUUGGAUUAUGUGGAAGCAUGGUUUUAAUAUUGAUGAUAAUUCUUUU